CCUACGGGAGGCAGCAGUGAGGAAUAUUGGUCAAUGGACGAGAGUCUGAACCAGCCAAGUAGCGUGCAGGAUGACUGCCCUAUGGUUUGUAAACUUCUUUUAUAGGGGAAUAAAAUGUUCCUCGGGUGUGCUUUCGUAUGUACCAUAUGAAUAAGGAUCGGGUUACCCCGUGCCAGCAGCCGCGGUUAUACGGGGGAUCCGAGCGUUGGCCUGAUUUGUUUGGUUUAAAGGGGGCGUAGGUGGGUUGUUAAGUCAGGUGGGAAAGUUUGCGGCUUAACCGUAACAUUGCAGUUGAAACUGGCAGUCUAGAGUACAGUAGAGGUGGGCGGAAUUCGUGGUGUAGCGGUGAAAUGCUUAGAUAUCACGAAGAACACCGAUGGCGAAGGCAGUUCACUGGACUGCAACUGACACUGAGGCUCGAAAGUGUGGGUAUCAAACAGGAUUAGAUACCCGUGUAGUC
rnacentral:rRNA from 1 species